rnacentral:rRNA from 1 species
UACCAGCACCCCGAGUGGUCGGGACGUUUAUUGGGCCUAAAGCAUCCGUAGCCGGUUCUACAAGUCUUCCGUUAAAUCCAGCUGCUUAACAGAUGGGCUGCGGAAGAUACUAUGGAGCUAGGAGGCGGGAGAGGCAAGCGGUACUCGAUGGGUAGGGGUAAAAUCCGUUGAUCCAUUGAGGACCACCAGUGGCGAAGGCGGCUUGCCAGAACGCGCUCGACGGUGAGGGAUGAAAGUUGGGGGAGCAAACCGG